rnacentral:rRNA from 1 species
GAGUAUGGUGGCAAGGCUGAAACUUAAAGGAAUUGACGGAAGGGUACCACCAUGAGUGGAGCAUGCGGCUUAUUUUGACUCAACACAGAAAACUUACUAGGUCUAGACAUAGGAUUGAUAAACCAGGAGCUCUUUCUUGAUUCUAUGGGUGGUGGUGCAUGGCUGUUCUUAACGAACGAGACCUUAACCUUCUAACUAGCUAUGUGGAGGUGACCUUCCACAGUUAGCUUCUUAGAGGGACUAUGGCCUUUCAGGACACAAAAGUUUGAGGCAAUAACAAGUCUGUGGUGCCCUUAGAUGUUCUAGGUCGCACGUGCGCUACACUGAUGUAUUCAACAAUCUGUAGUUUUGGCUGACAGGACCGGGUAAUCUUCGAAAUUUCAUCGUGAUGGGGAUAGAUCAUUGCAAUUGUUGGUUUUCAAUGAGGAAUUCCUAGUAAGCGCGAGUCAUCAGCUCGCGUUGACUAUGCCUCUGCCGUUUUUACACUCCGCCCGUUGCUCCUACUAAUUGAAUGGUCUGUGAAGUGUUCGGAUCGCGGUGUUGUGGGUGGUUCGCCGCCAACAACGUCGUGAGAAGUUCACUGAACCUUAUCAUUUAGAGGAAACAGAAGUCGUAACAAGGAUUCCGUACGUGAACCUGCGGAAGGAUCAUUGUCGAAAUCUGCUAAGCAAAAUAACCUACGAACCAGUACGGUAACUAUCAGGGGCGUUAUGUGGCAGGCCUCACUGCGCCCACAUUCCGCCCCAUGGCUAGGUACGCUAUUGCUCUGAUGAGCUAGGCCACGGAAUUGAGGGCUCCAAGUGAGCCAUUUUUGGUAAGUAGAACUGGCGAUGCAGGAUGAACUGGAUGCCGGGUUAUAAUGCCCAACUGCGCACUAACCAAGACCCCACAAAGGGUGUUGGUCGAUUAAGAUAGCAAGACUGUGGUCAUGGAAGUCAAAAUCUACUAAGGAGUGUGUCACAACUCACCUGUCAAAUCAACAAGUCCCGAAAUGGAUGGUGCUGAAGCAUGCAACCUAUACUUGGCCGUUGGGGCAAGUGCCAAGUUCCGAUGAGUAGGAAGGCGCGGCGGUUGCUGCAAAACCUUGGGCGCGAGUAGUCGUUGGUGUAGAUUUUGGUGGUAGUAGCAAAUAUUCAAAUGAAAACUUUGAAGGCCGAAGAAGGGAAAGGUUCCAUGUGAAUGGCACGUGCAUAUGGGUUAGUCGAUCCUAAGAGUCGAUGCAAGCCUGACAAAGAGCACGUCCAAUGCGAGCAUCGAAAGGAAAUCGAGUUAAAAUUCCUGAACUAGGAUGUGGCGGCUGAUGGCAACGUUCAGGAGUCUAGACACGUCUGCGAGGGCCUCGGGAAGAGUUAUCUUUUCUAUUUAAGAGUCUGCUCACCCUGGAAAUGGCUCAGCCAGAGGUAGGGUCUAGCGACUGGAAGAGCACUGCAUGUCUCCUGGUGUCCAGUGUGCCCUCUGUGGCCCUUGAAAAUCUAGAGGACUGAGUUCCUCCCACACCCGGUCGUACUCAUAACUGCAUCAAGUCUCCAAGGUGAACAGCCUCUGGCUAAUAGAACAAUAUAGGCCAGGGAAUUCGACAAAAUAGAUCGUAACUUCGGGAAAAGAAUUGGCUCUAAGGGCUGGGCACUGGGGUCCAUGUCCUAAAACCGUCGGCUGUCAGUGGACUGCUCAAGCUACCCUCGCGGCGAGAGUGGGUCGCUGCAUGUUGGCCGGGGGACGGGUUGGGAAUGACUCCUCGUGGGGCCUUCCCCAAGCGUCAAACAGUUGAUUCAAAUUUGGUAUAGACAAGGGGAAUCCAAAUAUUUAAUUAAAACAAAGCAUUACGAUUGUCCCUGCAGAUGCUCACAUAAUGUGAUUUCUGCCCAUUGCUCUGAAUGUCAAAGUGAAGAAAUUCAACCAAGCACGGGUAAAGGGCGAGAGUAACUAUGACUCUCUUAAGGUAGCCAAAUGUCUCGUCAUCUAAUCAGCGGGGAAAAAAGACCCUGUUGAGCUUGACUCUAGUCCGAAUUUUUGAAAUGACUUGAGAGGUGUAGGAUAAGUAGGAGCCGGAAACGGCGAAAGUGAAAUACUACUACUUUUAACGUUAUUUUACUUAUUUCGUGUGUUGGAGGCGGGGCACUACCCCUCUUUAUGGACUAAAGGCCUACCUUGGCGGGCUGAUCCGAGCGAAAGACAUUGUCAGGUGGGGAGUUUAGCUAGGGUAGCUCAUCUGUUAAAAGAUAACGCAUGUGUACUAAGAUGAGCUCAACGAGAAUAGAAAUCUCGUGUGGAACAUAAGGUUUAAGCACAUUUGAUUCUAAUUUCCAGUACAAAUACGAACCUUGAAAGUGUAGCCUAAUGAUCCUUUAGACCUUUGAAAUUUGAAGCUAGAGGUUUUAGAGGCUUGUGGCAGCCAAGCGUUCAUAGCGAUAUUGCUUUUUGAUCCUUCAAUGUCGACUCUUCCUAUCAUUGUGAAGUAGAAAUUACCAAGUAUUGGAUUAUUCACCUACUAAUAGGGAACGUAAGCUGGGUUUAGACUGUUGUGAGACAAGUUAGUUUUACCUUACUUAUGACAGUGUUGCAAUAGCAAUUCAACAUAGUAUGAAAAGAACCGUUGAUUCACACAGUUGGUCAUCGCGCUUGAUUGAAAAGCCAGUGGCGCGAAGCUACCAUGCUUUGGAUUAUGACUGAAUGCCUCUAAGUCAGAAUCCAGGCUAGACGCGACGCAUGACCCCGCUGUUCGUUUACUGACAAACAGUAGGUGCUAUUUGGCCCCCAAAGGCACGUGUCGUAGGUGAAACUCGCAUGACAAAUGAGCGGCGAGUACAAUUCUUUGCAGACGAUGCGAA